rnacentral:lncRNA from 1 species
AUUAUUGUGUUUAUCCAUUAAAUCAUUCGUUUCGUACCUACUGUGAAUUGAUGGAUCGUUCAUAUCUUGACUUCUCAUUGAUCCUUUGAAACCACCUGUCUUUCGAGCUAUACAAGUACGGAUUCAAUUUUAACCGUAGCCUAUUGUUGAUUGAGAUCCAUCUUCAUCAAUUGUUAUACGAUCUUGAAUUGUGGUCACUCUCUUAUUGAAACCAUUGAUCGUACC